rnacentral:misc_RNA from 1 species
CAUUAUCAACCCUCAAGCCUGGCUUGUUGUUGGACCUUCGUCGUUAAAGACGGGUCCCAAAGACAAUGACGGAGUCGUGUUGGACCCUAGAUGCAACGAGCUUUCAUAGCACGCAUUGACGUGGCCGGCCGCUCUUGUCUCAACCAAAUUUUUAUAACAAGGUUGACCCCGGAUCAGGUAGGAAUACCCGCUGAACUUAA